ACUAGCCAUGAUGACUCCCAUAUCUCUUUCUUGAGUGGGAUAGAUUAAUUGUGCAUGGGGAAGGCGAAUUGAACAUUCCCCUGAUUUGCCCUUCCCUUCAAUAUGAAGAUGCCUGAAAGUCUUGGUCUAAAUCAGAUCUGGAUUCUUCAGCCAUGGAUGUUUCACCUCUAACCCACUGACACUGAUGUGCCCUUUGUAGGUUGAGAGUCUGAUCUGUUCAACGAAUAGCCGGAGGCCUUGAAACCUAACUGCCUCUGAAGCCUCAUAUUCCAGCACUCUGUGAUCUCAGCUGAGCAGAAAGGGAGGAUUUUAAUAUAUCACCAGUGGUUUUCUACUCAUGCAAUUUGUUUCUUUUCACUAGCCCUGCCUAUAUCCUCACGGAUGGAUAAGAUAAACAGCAUGCCGUAGAGAACAGAAUGGAGUAUGAUCUUGGAUAGACUGUGGUUAACUCCCAUGAAGCUUCUGUUAACUUGGAGCAGGAGGGGAUCUGCUCAUUAGCACAUAUCUGUAGCUGCUGGAAAAAAGUGGGAAACAAAAUGUUAAUAGUCAGACUGGUAAAAGUAUCACCAUGUGGUAAUCUGCUAUUGAGCCUUUCACCUCCAGAUUCAAAUAGAGUCUAGGUCAUUUGUGAUUAAAUGUUGUCACCAAAUCA